UACGGGGGGGGCUAGCGUUGUCCGGAAUUAUUGGGCGUAAAGGGCGCGUAGGCGGAAUUGUAAGUCAGAGGUUAAAUUUCGGGACUUAACUCCGAGUCUGCCUUUGAGACUACAAUUCUUGAGUGCGAAAGAGGAAAGCGGAAUUCCCGGUGUAGCGGUGAAAUGCGUAGAUAUCGGGAAGAACACCAGUAGCGAAGGCGGCUUUCUGGUUCGCAACUGACGCUGAGGCGCGAAAGCGUGGGUAGCAAACAGG
rnacentral:rRNA from 1 species